UACGAAGGGGACUAGCGUUGUUCGGAAUCACUGGGCGUAAAGCGCACGUAGGCGGAUAUGCCAGUCAGGGGUGAAAUCCCGGGGCUCAACCUCGGAACUGCCCUUGAUACAGCAUGUCUUGAGUCCGAUAGAGGUGGGUGGAAUUCCUAGUGUAGAGGUGAAAUUCGUAGAUAUUAGGAAGAACACCGGUGGCGAAGGCGGCCCACUGGAUCGGUACUGACGCUGAGGUGCGAAAGCGUGGGGAGCAAACAGG
rnacentral:rRNA from 2 species